GAAGGAAAAAAAUAAACCUUAUAACAAGGCAGAACUUUGGAAAUGCAUCCCCUGGAGACAUAUAAUAGAGCUGUGAAUUUAGUGGAGGUGGUGGAUAGGCAAUGCUGGGUGACUAAGGACUGUUAACAUAAUUAAAAGGAUGGGGGAUUUCUGUAGCUGAAGAUAAAAACCCUGAAAUAUAUUAUGAUAUAGUCAAAUGAAUGUCUUUUCUUUAUGCACCUAUUUCUCAAGAGCUGAUAAUACAAAGGAAAAAUUUAGUGCAUAAAGUUCAAAGUUUCCAUUUGUAUACUAAUCUAUCAAAUAUUUUACAGCAAUUAGACUAGAGAGCCACCAAAACAGAAUAGAUCUGCAGAGCUCCCACUUUGCAAUAGCUGCGCGGAAAUCUUGAUACUUUCCCAGGGUGUAACCAAAGUCAGAGUCUAUGUGAUACUGCAUGAAACAACCAGGGAAGAUUUUCUUUUUUUAAAAUUUGAACUAUAGAUAGAUAGAUACAUAGAUACAUAGAUACAUAGAUAGAUCUUUUUGAGUUUUUUUUCUAAAAUUCUAUUCAGAAUAUGAGUUUUAACUAGAUUUGUCAUUAUAAAAUGAAAUGAAACCAAAAUCACCAGCCAACAUCAAUAGUAGCAUUGUUUUCACAGAGCAUGUACAUUUGUAUAAAGUUACUUUAUGUGGAGUCAUUUGGAUAUUUAAAUUGGAACUUUUAGUAUUUUCAGAAUUUUUUAGAGAUUUUGAUGAAUAAAUUCCUCAGAAACAAAGGUUUUUAUUAACAAACUACUGUUAAAGAAUUUAUACAUUAUAAAAUAUUGCUGAACAUACUGACAGAUUUGAGUUUUUCUUUAACAGAAUUGACAUUUUAUCAAAAUAAUAAAAUUUUUGAAGUUUAUUUUCUAUGCCCUCAACCUUCUCUUUCUGAACUCUUUUCUCCUCUGGGAUACAAAAAUUUUCCUAAUUUCAGACAUCUGGGAAAGCUAUCAGUUCUCUUGUCCCUUCCCGCUCAUAUAGAUUUAUAAUUGCUAUAUGAUUAUUUCCAAAGUUGCAUUUGACCAAUGACAUAUGUUAUAAAUUAAAUGCUCUUAAGAUAAUGUGCCAGUUAAACUUUUCAUAUAUAAUUACUGAGUGAGGAUAUUUGUUCAUUGACCCUUAAAGUCUCAAACACUAGUAAGCUCUCUGGAUUGACUGAUUUGGGUCCAGAUGAAAAUGCUGAAGUUCUAUAUUUCAAGGGGCUCAUAGUACUAAAAGUGUCUGUUUCCUCAGUCAGCAGUUUCAUCCAGGAUCUGGUUCUCUACUGGGCCCCCCCAUUCCAAAUGCACAGAUUUUGAGCCCCAGCGCUGGAAACUGACUCCAUGGGUUUGGACCUAAGCUAUAUUAUAGUAAGAAAUUAGCUUUACGUCCAUUCUCUUUUUCUUCAUUUGUGAAGUAUCACCAGAGAUGUAUAUAGAUAGGGGCCAGGUAGUUAAUGUGUAAUAAUAGAGAAAAGGCAGACUAGGUGAGUGCAGACAUAGUAAAGUGGAUAUAAAUAGUUUUAGGAGUUAUGAAAGUUCUCUUGUGGUUGAUUCCAUUGUUCUCAGAGAAGUAGCAACCAAAAAGAGACUGAUUUCUGGGGAAGUGUUGGAGAUCUAUAAAAUGGGAGAAGAUGCAAAACUGCUAUCUAGACAAAUUAGCAGGUGAAUGGACUGGGACAUAUGCAGCACUGAUUGAUUAAUAGGCAGUGUUAAGAUUUGCAGUACAAAUUUGCAGUGGGAGAAGACUGUAUGUUUUGUGAUUUGUUUCAUAUAUCCAGUUGCUCAGGAAUAAAUGAUGAUUAAAUGGAAAUUUGGACCUAGCCAGGAUUAUUUUCUAAGCUGAUUCAACAAAGUGAAAAGGAAAUGAGGACGUUGAAGCUACAUGCAAGGGAAUGAUUGACCAUGGAAUUUAGGCAGGAAACAGGCUAAGAGAGGACCUCGAAAGAAUAUGGUUCAAUGUUAACAUGAUAAGAAAAUAAUAGAGGCCCCAGAUUGACUAAAAGGUUUUAAAGUCAGAGUAUGGGAGGAAAUGAUGAAAGGAGAUCAGAGAAUGGGGUACAUGAAAUUAUGGGCCCAGAGGAGUUGCUGUUCUAAAUAAUGACAAGAUCUUGGCCAUUCAGGAAGUGUGGUCUGUAGACCAGCAGCAACAGCACCACCUAGAAAAUCGCUAGAAUUGCAUAGUCUCAGGCUCUACCCCAGAUUUACUGACUCAGAAACUCCAAGGACACAUCCCAGUAAUCUUUAUUUUUACACAACUUGAGACAAUUAUGAUGUACACAGUAAUUAGGUCUAGGAUGUAUCCCGUAGAGAAGAGUGAACAGGUAGGGUAGUGUGAUAAUGUGAUAGAAGAAAUAUAUAUCUGGUCUUUGCCCCAGACCUUGGCACAGAGCUCCUAAAACCACUUAAUUGCAAGCGCGAUAAACGUCUUUUGUUAUUCAUAAUAGCUCCCUUUUAACUGAAUCUGAGUUUAUGCUCAUGAGAUGACUAGGGUGGCUGGGGGCCCCUAGAUAGUCUCAGGGUGGUUGCCGUUCACCAGAAAGACCUAGACAGGAUUAAAGGUUGGAAUUUUCAUUCCUGCUUUCUGGGGAUGGCAGAAGGGCUGCAGAUGAAAUCAUUAGCCAUUGGCAAUUAACCCAAUCAAUUACACCUACGUAGUAAAAAUGAUAAAACCUCUGGGCAAAAGAAAAAUGAGAAUUUGGGGAGCUUCUGGGUUGGUGAACACAACCAGGCGCUGGUAGGGUGACACAACCAGCCUGGGUGCUGGGUAUUAUCAAACCUACACCAGAAGCUGUAGGAACUCUGAUUUAUAAUUGGUGGGUGGUGGGUCACAAGUACUGGAGGCCCAAACUUGUGACUGGUAUCUGGUGAGAUUGUCCUUAACUUGUGGAAUAGGACACUGAUGGAAACAGUUUCAAAACUGAAUUGAAUUGUAAGACACCCAGUUGAUAUAUAAAGAGUGGAGAUCUGGUUAGUGUUGUAGGGGCCCAGGGCAGACUGCCCCCAAAUGUACCACAAUGGCAUAUAGAUUAUUUUGAAUUGAAGCUACUUGGGAAGGAACCCAGACAAGGACACUCAGACCCUCACCAUCUGCUAGAAAGUGGGAAACAAAUCUCCCAUAUGAAAAUACCACCUUACAUGUACUAAGUGAAAAGACACCUUUAGCACCAAAGUGACAUUAAAGUUAAUUAGGCUAUAGAAUUGAACCUUGUGACUUUUUUACUAAUCUACUACCUCAGCCCAAAUUCCACUUAGAACUCCUUACUAAUUGAAGUUCCCAAACAUCUGUUUUCCUUAUCGUGUAAAUUCCUCACAAACUUAUUAUUCCUGUCUAAAAUGUAUAAAAACUGAUUCUUUUGACAGUUUUUGCUGCAUCCCAAAGGUUUUGGACCAUUGUGCUUUGAUUUUCAUUUGUUUCCAUGUAUUGUUUUAUUUCUUCUUUGAUUUCCUGGUAAACCCAUUCAUUGUUUAGUAGCAUGUUGCUUAACCUCCAUAUAUUUGUGGUCUUUCCAGGUUUUUUCUUGUGGUUGAUUUCUAGUUUCAUAGCAUUGUGGUCAGAAAAGAUUCAUGAUAUGACUUUAAUUUUUUUGUAUUUGUUGGGGCCAGUUUUGUGACCUAAUAUGUGAUCUAUUCUGGAGAAUAUUCUAUGUGCACUUGGAAUUUAGGAUGGAAUGUUCUGAAUAUAAAUGUCCAUCUGGUCCAAUGUGUCAUUCAAAGCCAUUGUUUCUUUGUUUAUCUUCUGUUUAGAUGAUCUGUCCAUUGAUGUCAAUUAAUCUUCAACAAUGCAAGGAAGAAUGUCCAAUAGAAAAAAGACAGUCUCUAAAACAAAUGACAUUGGAAAAACUGGACAGCAACAUACAUAAGGAUAAAACUGCACCACUUUCUUACAUCAUACACAAAAACAAAUUCAAAAUGAAUUAAAGACCUAAAUGUGAGACCUAAACCUAUAAAAAUCCUAGAAGAAAACACAGGCAGUACCUUCUUUGAAAUCAGCCAUAUCAACUUCUUUCUAGAUAUGUCUCCAGAAACAAGGGAAUCAAAAGUAAAAAUAAACUAUUGAGACUACAUCAAAAUAAAAAGCUUCUGCACAGUGAAGGAAACAACCAACAAAACUAAAAGGUGACCUAUGAAAUGGGAGAAGAUAUUUGCAAAUGACAUAUCUGAUAAAGGGUUUGUAAACAAAAUCUAUAAAGAAUUUAUAAAACUCAAAACUCAAAAAAAAUCUGAUUAAAAAAUAAGCAGAAGACAUGAAUAGACAUUUUUCCAAAGAUGAGGGACAGAUGGCCAGAACAGACACAUGAAAAGAUGUUCAAUACCACUGAUCAUCAGGGAAAUGCAAAUCAAAACUACAAUGAGGUAUCACUUUAAAUCUGUCAGAAUGGCUAAAACCAACAGCCCAAGAAACAACAGGUGUUGGUGAGGAUGUGGAGAAAGGGGAAUCCUCCUGACUGUUGGUGGGAAUGCAAACUGCUGCAGCCACUCUGGAAAACAGUAUGGCAUUUCUUCAAAAGGUUAAAAACAGAACCACCCUACGAUCCAUCAAUUGCAGUACUAGGUAUUUACCCAAAUAAUACAAAACUACUAAUUCAAAGGGAUACAUCGUCCAUCCCAAUAUUUAUGGCAGCCUCAUCUAUAAUAGCCAAAUUUUGGAAACAACACAAGUGUCCAUCAACUGAUGAAUUGAUAAAGAAGAGGUAUAUAUAUAGUAUACUAUAUAGGGUAUAGUAUAGUAUAGUAUAGUAUAGUAUAGUAUAGUAUAGGUAUAGUAUAGGUAUAUAUAUAUAUAGUAUACUAUAUACAGUAUAUAUAUAUAUAUAUAUACACACACACACUAUAUAUAUAUACAAUAUGUAUAUAAAAGAAUAUUACUCAGCCAUAAAAAAAGAAUGAAAUCUUUCCAUUUGCAAUGACAUAGAUGGAGCUAGAGUGUAUUAUCCUAAGCAAAGUCAGUCAGUCAAAGAAAGACAAAUACCAUAUGAUUUCAUUCAUAUGUGGAGUUUAAGUAACAAAAGAAACAAGUAUAGUGAGGAAACAAAGAGGAAAACCAAGAAAGAGACUCUAAACUAUAGAGAAUAAACUGAUGGUUACCAGAAGGGAAUGGGUGGGGGCAUGGAUUAAAUAGGUGAUGGGGAUUAAGGAGGCAUUUGCGAUGAGCAUCAGGUGUUGUAUGGAAGUGUGGAAUCCCUAUAUUGUACACCUAAAACUAAUAUUACAAUAUAUGUUAACUAACUUGGGAAUUUAAAUAAAAACCUAAAAAUAAACAAACAAACUGAAAAGUUACUAAUUUAAGUCAUGCCCAUUUCAGAUCUCUCCAGAAAUGGAAAUUGGAAAACAGUAGGAAGAAGCUUUGACAGAAAAUCUGUCUUUAUUCUCAGGAGGAAGUACAGGCAACUAUACUACACAAAAGUUUAGAAGAACUUUUAUAAUUAUUUGCUGUCAUAUUUUAUAAACAGAACUGCCUGGAAUUCUCUGUUAAACUAGAAUCUUCUGUUAAACAUCAUUUUCAUACUAUUUAGACAAGAUCUUUGUUGUUGAAAAUCUUAGUCUUCCUUUGAUAAUUCAGUUUUCAGAGGCUGAAAUUGAUUCAUGUAACUCUUUUUUUUCAACUUUUUUUUUUUAUUUUUUUUAUUUUUGGGACAGAGAGAGACAGAGCAUGAAUGGGGGAGGGGCAGAGAGAGAGGGAGGCACAGAAUCGGAAACAGGCUCCAGGCUCCGAGCCAUCAGCCCAGAGCCUGACGCGGGGCUCGAACUCACGGACCGCGAGAUCGUGACCUGGCUGAAGUCGGACGCCUAACCGACUGCGCCACCCAGGCGCCCCUCAUGUAACUCUUAUUAAAUGUAACUGUGCAUAUGAUUUGGGAAUCAUGAGGGAGAUUUUUGGUCAGGUAUUCCUAGCAGCUUUGUAUUACAUCACAUAUAUCCUAGCUACUUUUAAAUCUAGUAUUGAGUUGAGGUUUGCUACCUAUUUUAACUGCAAAGGAUAAAGGUAAUUCAUUUCUCCGAUUGAAAAAUUUGGUUCCUUGGGAGCAGAAGCGUCUAGUUUCUCUCUUCUCUGUUCAGUAUGAAAAUACAAAAGCAUGUGAACUUUGGAUUAUGACAGCCCUGAGUUCUGCUGUGGUUUCUUCCUCUCAUAAGCUACAGAAUCUACAGCAAGUUAUGAACUAUUUCAGAGCAUGAAAGCAAUUACAUUAGUUGGAAAAAUGAGUGUGAUAAAUAGAAGAAAAGGUACCAGUACAAUUUCUGGAACAUAGUCAAAUUGUAUAAAUGUUAGCUUUCUUCCUUUAUGAUUCAACAUCUAAUGAUUCUGCGCCCAGUCCUGAUAUGUGAGGCUUUUCCCCCAACACCAAGCAAUUCUCUGAUACCAGCUGAGUGUCCUACAAUUUCACUCAAUUCUGACACUAUCUACCUGGAUAUUUACCUAUCAGUCCCACAAGGCUGCCCCCCGCCAACUUCAGAUGCCAAUCUCAAGCCACCUAUGCUUCUACCUAGGCUAUUAAUCAAAGGUUCCCAUGACCCCCUACUCAGGAUCACUUAAUUUGCUAGAGCAGCUCACAGAACUCAGGAAACCAGUUUAUCCCCUUAACUACAGGUUUAUUACAAAGGAUUAAAGGAUACAAAUCAACAGCCAGAAAAAAAAAAAAAAAAAAAAAAAGCAAAGGAUGCAGAGGGUAAGGUAUGGGAAAACAUGUGGAGCUUCUAUGCCGAGUGCACUAUUCUCCCCAAAUCACCACUUGUUAAGCAGCCCAGAAGCUCUAUGAAUCCCAUCCAUUGGAGUUAGUGGAGGCUUCAUUAUGUAGGCAUGAUUCAUUAAAUCACUGACUGUUGGUGACUGAUUCUACCUCACUAAAAAUGAAGGAAAGGGACUAUUCAUGGUGGUUUCCCCUGCCUGCCAGCAACCCCAACCCCACAUCUUUAGGGGAUUCUUAAAAGUCACCUCAUUAGCAAACUCAGGUAUAGUUGAAAGGUACUUACUAUGAAUAAGACAGCAUUCAUCUCACCUUUAUAGCUCUGAAGCAAUUUCAGGGACAGAGGACAAGAGACUAAAUAUGACAAAAAAAUGCUCUCAUGGCUGUUACUGCUCAGGAAAUUCCAAGGGUUUUGGGAGCUAUAGGCCAGGAACCAUGAACAAAGACCAUAAGUCACAAUGUCACUACCAUCUAAAUAGAAGCCAGCUGGCAAUUGCAAGACACUAGUAUGAAAAUAAAAGUUUGCUGAUGAAUCUUCAAUUACUGAGACCAUACUUUAUAGGAAGCAAAAUUAGCAAACAUUUUCUCCCCACACUCACACAAAAUAGGAGACAGACAGACAGUGUUCCCGCCCAGAUAGAGACAGUAUUCUGUGUACACUUAAGAAGAAUGUGAGACAAUGGUUUUAUUAUCAGGUGCUGUCCUUUUACUGGCAAUAACAUCUGAAGAACUCAAGGGCAUAUGAAAUAGACCUUAAAUGGACUUAAGGACUGGGAAAUUUUCAUAAGUGUGUUUUAUGUCUUCUCUGGAAAUCUGGGAACCAAUAAAAUCACUUUGAUCAUUCAUUAUGUUCUUUUCAAGUGAAACUAUUUAUGUUUUAAAAUUUAUAGAUAUGCAUUAUAAUUAUUAACGCAAAAGCAUAGCAUAUUUCUUGUGAAUCCAUGAAAACUAGCUAUAUAACAAGGGAAAUGGAAUUUUGAGCUAUCUUAAAGGAAGGUUACAUAAUUUGACAAAAGUUUAUGAAUUCCUUUCCCUACUAUAAAAGUAUAUAUAUCCCAAAUAAAUGACUGAAAGUAAGUGAUCUCCUUAAAGAAAUUGACUGUGAAAUAGGUUUUUAUUUCCAUACAAACUGUAAUACUGUUGUUCUGUAAUUAAAAAGAAAGCACUUAAAAGUGAGAAUAAAGAUGUAGCUUAUUAGCACCUUAUUUUGUGGAUCAGACCUGCAAAAUUAAAUCUUUCUUAGGGACAGAUUGAAGUUAGUUGUGUAUAUGGAGCGUAAAUUGAUAGUGUACAUAUUUUCCUCUACUUAAAUAGAAAUGUGUAAUUUGCACUUCAAAACCCUGUUAUAAAUUAGCUGUGUCCUAAGCAGUUAUUCGUAAGUGUUAAAUUUAUUCUCAUUAAUUAUCAAAUAGGCCCUUGGCUUAUUAUAAUGAGAUGUUCCUAUGAUCCAAAGUUGAACAAUAUAGACAGAUUUAAGAAUCUUCAAUUCUUUGGAAAAUCAGGGAUAAUAAGGGCAAUAUUUACAGAAUACUAUUUCUACUCAAACAUAUUUUGACUUACAACAAGCUUUAUCAAUGUUAACGACACAAGUGUUUCUGACUAGCAGCAAGAGCCAUUAUAGUUAUGUACAAUUAUCCAGAGGUGAAUUAAACAUCUAGAUGGAAAGAAUUAAAGGGUUAUAAGAAUAAAUAUUAUAUCAGGCAUUUAAAAAAAAAUUUAACAUUUAUUUAUUUUUGAGACACAGAGCAUGAGCAGGGGAGGGGCAGAGAGAGAGAGAGAGAGAGAGAGAGGGAGACACAGAAUUCAAAGCAGGCUCUAGGCGCUGAGCUGUUAGCAUAGAGCCCAAUGUGGGGCUGGAACCCACCAACUGUGAGAUCAUGACCUGAGCUGAAGUCGAACACUUAAAUGACUGAGCCACCCAGGUGCCCCUCUAUCAGGCAUUUUUUAGGCAUCUUUUGAUACAUUGCUAUACUUGAGUAUUUUUGUGACAAAAAAACAUAACCUGAGUAGCUUGAAUAUCUAUGUUAUCAAAGGAAAAAAUAUUCAAAGCAUGAUUUUAUAAAUAAAGCAUAUGUGUAAAUCAAAAGCAUAAAACCUCUACAUUUAAAAUUGUCUUUAAUAAAAAAAAUGAAAGUAAGCAAUUGGACAGCCAGUUAUGGGCAUUAUCAUAAGACUACCCUGGUAACCAAGUACCAAGAGGACCUUUGGCAGUAAAAAGCCUAGUGAACCAUUUGCCCCCACGAGACCAUCAUUGCUGCCACCAAUUAUUACUCAAAAAGGCAAUGGUAGAAAUAAAAGACUGAUGCUGAAUCCUAUCUGUAUUUAAACCAGACAUUUACCUAUUAUUACUUAAAGUGACUUUAAAAACAAUAUCUAGAGGUUCAAGUGUUCGGCCUUCUAAAGAAGCUUCCAACUGAGAUAGGAAGGUCUGCUGGGAUAUUGUUAUUGUUUUGGUGUUUAAGGCAGUUGACUCUUUAAGUAUCUUGAAAGUGAUACACAUUAUUGAGGGACAGAAGUUGUCCAAUUUCUGGACUAUUCUGGAUUUUAUAUUUUACGGUUGAAAUACCAAAAUUGGCUUAUCAUUAUGGGUGAAAACACACCAAAUUAGCUUUUGCUCCAAUCUCAAAACUCCCAGCUGCUGGAGAAAUGUUCUACAAUUAGGAAUAUACAUCCGAGGUUGUUGAUGGUACCUUCUGAUAAACUAUACAUGAUGGCAUAUACUCAUUUGCUGCCUAAACGCACUUUAUAAGACACUUUUAAUGAAAAUCAGGGUUGAGAAACUAUUUUUUAUGACAAGCUACAACACAGAAAAAGAAAUGCAUCCAUUCUGGACACCUGUAAGGAAUAUACAGCCUCUCUUACUAUAUGAUUCUGCUUUUAGACACAAUUCUUAAAUUGUUACUUCUCUUUUAUUUUCAAAAAUCUGUAGGAGGACUUUGAGAAAACAUCUAGAUGAUUCGAUAAAUAGGAAAUAAAUGUUGGCAUGCCGAAUUAAGUUAGUGAUCCAACUAGUAAGUGGUAACUUACAAGUUAAAGUCGUAUAAACGGAAACAAAAGGAACACUUGCCUAAAAAUUUUUAAAUGCUUGAAAAUUAUCCUGACUAUCCUGAAACCCACACAAUUUGAUAUAUUCUACAGCCAUAAUUCAAAAAGAUAGCUUUAUAUACCAUAUGGAAUUUAUAUUUAUACUGAGUUUAAGUAAGGAAUAUAUUACUUGUUAUCGGAGAAGGAUAACAAACUCACACCAGAAUUGAUGUGCAUGAAUCACGUUAGAAUAUCACUGAUGUAGAAAUUAAACAAUAUAUUCAGUCCCAGAGGUGUGAAGAACAUAGAAGAAUUUUAAAUUUGGCUAUUAAAUUCCUUCCCCAAAAGGUCUUUGCGUCAAGACACUUGUGUCCAUUACAUAUCCUCAGAGUCUCAGGUGUCAAAUCACAUUCUGUUGCAGCUGUAAAUUAACCAGACAUUAAAAAAGAAACAGUCAAAGAUCUAGAUAGGUAGUAAGGGUGAGGGAAGUUCACCUGCAGGUGGGUGGGUCCUGACAGGGGUAGGUAGUAUGCCAAAUGAUAGACAGGUCACCAGAACAAGAACAAAGCAACAAAUUAGCAGAGUCCCAGUUAUAACUGGAACCAGGUAUAGGACUUGGAAUCUAUCCCUACUUUUCUCACUUAGCAGCUAGGGUUUUAAUGUCCUAAUAAGGUCAGAGAACGCCCUUGAUUUGUUUGUUUGAUUUAAUUCUUGCAUAGUUUAGGACUAUGCCUUCAACUUAGCUAUUUGUUGAAUAAUUGAUGAUGACUAAAAUCUGUCCACAGGUCAGUGUAGUACUAAGGAGGGACUUCAGCUAUUAAGGUACCUAUUAGAAGUCUUACUUUUUAAAAAGCCUCUAAUUAAUUAUUGAUAAGUAUUGCUGACAAUUUCACUCUCAUAAGGUAGAGAAAGCAGAAAGGUUAUUUGGCCUCUUGGCUCCUCUUCCUUUGCCUUCCACAGCCCUCUCCCAUGGUCCACACACAGGCAAUUUUGUGGCUCUCGAUUUAUUUUGCACUUCUGAUAGAACCUCUAUCAGUGUAUCCUCAGUGUAACCAACUUGUCCUCAUGGACAAUGUCCUCCAACAUUUACUCACACAGAGACAAACAGCAAGAAGUCAUGCUGUAGAUGAUAAGGAGAAAGGAACAUCACUUGGACUAGAACAACUAUCUCCAAUGCUCAAAUGGAUAUUUCCGCUGGAUCUCAGCACCAUUUUCCAUUGAUUCCAUGUCCCAAAUUGGCCCUGAGUUAGGUAGAGGAAUAAAGAAUAGGAAACUGUUUAUCUCCAAAUUCCCUAAUCUAAGUACCAAGCCAAGAAAGUUAAAUGCUCAACCCAUCCAUCAUCCUUUGUUUCUUCAUCUUAAGGUACUUGAUGGUGUUGGAAGCUCAACUCAAAACAACCCACAGUGCAAAAUUGUUAGCAACCAACCCUCUCUCUCCUUGUUGAGUUACAUCUCAAGGCAACCUCCUAGCAGGUCAGCUUUCAGCCCACCUGCCCAAUCAUGCAUCUCAGUAGAGUCCUCAUCAGAGUCAACUUCAGUUAUAACCAACAAGACCAUACGAGAGACUGGAGUUUCUGACUACCUGACUUGCUGCCAUCAUGUGCCUGAAAAAAGGAAUCUGGCAUAUAAAAAAGCUGAUAUGUAGGCAAAUCUUUUUUUUUCAAGCUUCAAAUUUAUAUCAUCAGGGCCAGAAACCUGUGAUAGAGCUAGGCUUACUUUUAAAGAAGCUAAAAAUACUUGAAGACAACAGUGGUAAUUAAUUUUACACAGGAAUUUUUAAUACAUAGCUUCUUAAUAUAUCUCUUUUAAAUUUAGUAUUUGUUUAAAUAUUAUUUAUUUUAUUUAUUAUUUGUUACAAUACUCUUUUUAAUGAAGUAUGCUUUUUUAAUAAAAAGAGUGGAAAAUAUAAUAUUGACAUCAUCAAAGCUGUAGAAAAACCAUCUGUAUGUCCCACAAGCCUCCAUCAUCCAUCUGGCAGCCAUUUACCCAAACUGAAAAUCCAAAUACCAAAAAAAGUAAAUAAUAUUUGUGUUGUUCUGGACUUGCAAGCUUUCAAGCUCAAAUCUAUAAAAUAAGGAGAAACCUCCUAAUUAUUCUUAAUUUGCUCUAUGGAGUUGAAACAGAUGGAUUAUAAAGAUGAUUCCAUGAUAAACAACUAAAUGUGGUUACUACC
rnacentral:lncRNA from 1 species